rnacentral:rRNA from 1 species
GUAAGGAAUAUUGGACAAUGGACGCAAGUCUGAUCCAGCCAUGCCGCGUGAAGGAUUAAGGUCCUCUGGAUUGUAAACUUCUUUUAUAAGGGAAGAAAAAAGGCUUUUCUAAGUCGUCUGACGGUACCUUAUGAAUAAGCACCGGCUAACUCCGUGCCAGCAGCCGCGGUAAUACGGAGGGUGCAAGCGUUAUCCGGAUUCACUGGGUUUAAAGGGUGCGUAGGCGGGCAGGUAAGUCAGUGGUGAAAUCCUAGAGCUUAACUCUAGAACUGCCAUUGAUACUAUCUGUCUUGAAUAUUGUGGAGGUAAGCGGAAUAUGUCAUGUAGCGGUGAAAUGCUUAGAUAUGACAUAGAACACCUAUGGCGAAGGCAGCUUACUACGCAUAUAUUGACGCUGAGGCACGAAAGCGUGGGGAUCAAACAGGAUUAGAUACCCGUGUAGUCC